CUACGUUACCUACUUGGUUUAAAGUACUAAACGUUAAAAAAUCAGAGAAGA
rnacentral:sRNA from 1 species